AUUUCUUUCAGUAUAUACUGCCACAUGAAAAUGAAAAGCUUUCGCAAGUUGAAUUAUUGGUUAUUGAUGAAGCAGCUGCUAUUCCACUACCUAUGGUGAAGUCUUUGCUUGGCCCAUAUCUGGUCUUCCUGUCUUCUACUGUUAAUGGGUAUGGAUAGUGUUUGCCUUUGGCGAAACCUUCUAUAUUUCAAUUUUUAGUGAUAAAUCAUCAAUUCUUUUGAUUAUCCCUUUCAUUCCUCUUAAGUCAAGUUUAAUGUAUCAAUUUGUUCAUUUUGCUCUUGCAAAGUUAUGAAGGAACUGGACGCUCGUUAUCACUAAAACUUGUGCAGCAACUGCAAGAGCAAAGCCAUAUAUCUGCAAAGAGCCCAGAGGGCACCGGUACAAUGCUUUUGACUGCUUUCACAAGUUGAAUUGUUGGUUAUUGAUGAAGCAGCUGCUAUUCCACUACCUAUGGUGAAGUAUUUGCUUGGCCAAUAUUUGGUCUUCUUGUCUUCUACUGUUAAUGGGUAUGGAUAGUGUUUGCCUUUGACGAAACCUCCUUCUAUAUAUAUCAAUUUUUAGUGAUAAAUUAUCAAUUCUUUUGAUUACCCCUUUCGUUCCUCUUAGGUCAAGUUUAAUGUAUCAAUUUGUUCAUUUUGCUCUUGCAAAG
rnacentral:lncRNA from 1 species